GGCAGUGACCAUGUGGAUAAAGUGGGGACAGAUUCCAGAGAUCUCUUAAAGGUAGAACCAAAAGGACUUGAGGUCUCAUUGUAUUGAACAUUCGAGGGAAGAGUGAGUCUAACAGAACUUCAGAGAUUUCUAGCUUGGCCAAACUGGUUGAGGCGCCUUAACAUGAAAUACGUGGUAUGGCAAUAGAGAAGGGAAAACAUACUCUAAUGAAUUUGAGUUGCCCAUGGGAAAUUCAAGUGUAGUACCCAGUGGCUAUCUGUGUAGUCUGGAGCUUAUGAGAGAGGUCUGAGCCUAAACAGAAUUGGAGGGUUGUCUUUCACUGGGAGUGGAUGAGUUCACCUAGGAAAAAUAGGUAGCUAUCUGGCUUAUUAUUAGUUAAAAUAAUACUCAUCAAGUUGAAGGCCUAAUGUGCUAGAUAUGGUACCAAGCACUUUAUCUGCCUUCUCUCUCACAAAGCCCCGAAUAGAGUUGGUACUUUGAUCCUAAUCAUACUGAUGAGGAACUUCCAAAAAGGUAGGUGUCUUGCCUAAGGCCCCACAAUGAGUAGGGGUAUUGCCAGGCUUUGAAUUCAGGUCUGUCUUCUUAAGUCUUUUCUUUUUCCCCCCUUCCAAUAGAUGCUUAGAAUCACAUGGAAGAAAUCAUAGGCUCUCUCUGACAGAGGCACAGGCACCCCACAUUUUAUGUUCCGUUUCCAGGAUUUCACAAACGAAGCCCAUGCUCCAUGGCCCAGAGAGAGAAGGCAGCCCAAGAUGAAACCCUGGAGAAGAGAGUAUUGUAGUAAAGACAGAUGGAGAAGCGGUACUGAAGAGCAGAAAAUCAGAUCAGGGAAGACAGAAGGAUGAAGUUGAGUUGGUUGAGUUAGAAGUUCAGACAGUUGACUCUGUCUUAAUUAUCAACCCAUCAACCCACUUAGGUAUUUUUUUUCUUCUGCUUUCUCCAGGAUAACUGGAAUCGGUAUUGAGAUGAAAAGUUAGAAGAACCUGGGCAGGGAGAUUGCCAAAGAAUUAAGAAGUAUGAGUGUGGCUAAGUGAUGGCCUUGCCUGGGUUUUCAACGAAGAACUGGAAGCUGCCGUGUGAUUAACGGAGGCUGCUGAUCAUCAACCCCAGGUGUACGGUAGGGGGCUGGGACCAGGACAACAAACUCAAAUGGCAGUGGAGCCAGGCAGAUACUGUAAGGUAACAAACAGGGCAGGCCGGGUGCACCGGGCCUGCUGGAGAUGUGCUAGCCAUUCGGCUGGAGUGGAAACGUGAGCUCAGAGUUAACCUGAUCUGUCCAUUUUUCCAGAGAAGCUAGAUAAUAGGUGAUUUUUGAAUUGUCUUUCAAUUUCUAUAUGGCAACCAUACAUAUUUUUUUCUUAAAAAACGUAUGGGGGUCAGGGGGCCGAUGACAGUUGCUGCCCAUCGGUGACCAGUUUGCAGCUUGGUAGCUUCAGGAAGCCUCCUUUGGCGUCCUGACUUGUUUUAGGUUUCUGAACCUUUUUUCUGCAAUUGUGAGAAAUAAGGGCCUGGGCCUAAAACUUCCUCGACGAGGAUUUUAUCAAGAUUUAAAAUACCCCCACUGGUCAAAAAGCAGAGAACCAAGGUUUGAAAUUAGCAUUCUACGUAGUCUUACUACAUAACAAACAUAAGUGAAAAACAUCAGUGAGGUGGUCAAAUACAAAAAAAUUCUCAGUUUUUCCCAUAAAACAUGGCUUAGAUGGCCCAGUUUAUUAAUUUUAUGUCAGAGCUUUCUGCCAACACUCAUGGUAAUUAAUGUGCAUGUGUUAUAGUUUGUAAUGUUUUCAUAUAAAUGAACCUCAUAAUAAAGCCUGGUUUUCUCCUCCAGGAAGUAAUUUCUCCCAGCAUCAGAGAGCCAGCACGAGGAGAGCUGGGAUCAGAAUUUGGUUUUCCAGCUGCAGUGUCCAGUGCUCAUUUCUCCUGUACCAUAUGGCCACAUUAAAAAGAAAUGUGUUAGGUUCCGGUUUUAUUUUCACUUCCAAACUGAUACUCUGAAGCUAACACAGAGACUGAUUUUGUAUUAAAAAAUACAAAUGCAUAGGACUAAAUAUAGAGAAUAUUCAUCAAAAUAUUAAUAGGCGUUAUUACCUCUGCAGGGUAGAAUGACAAGGCAAGUCCACUUUAGUAUCCUGAAUUUCUUCUGCAAUGAGCAUAUUCUUUUUUUUUUUUUUUUUUUUGCGGUACGUGGGCCUCUCACUGUUGCGGCCUCUCCCGUUGCGGAGCACAGGCUCCGGACGUGCAGGCUCAGCGGCCAUGGCUCACAGGCCCAGCCCCUCCACGGCACGUGGGAUCUUCCCAGACCGGGGCACGAACCCGUGUCCCCUGCAUCGGCAGGCAGACUCUCAACCACUGCUCCACCAGGGAAGCCCCCAUAUUACCAAUUUCUUCAAGAAAUUACAGUGAUCAUUGUUAAUAAGCUUUUAUAAAUAAGCAUUUUUAGAAAUCCAUCCCGCAUUUUAAGAGUCCACAGCACCUGCAGGAAGCUCCUGUCAGAGCACAGCUCUGGUCCCUGCUUCCUUGGCAAACAGUCAGUGGCCCCUCUUUCAGUACAGUACUGACGGCUGCCACUGUCUUGACUUUUAAGGCAGUGCUUCUAAUACUUUGCCAUUAAGUAUAUCAUUUGCAAGAGGGCUUUGCUUUCCCAACCUGUUAUUACUCGUAGUUUUACUCAAGUUUUUAAUGAAGAAUGAAUGUUUGUUUCAAGUUAUUUUCAACAGAUUAUCCACUGAGAUCAUGUGUUUUGUUUUAUCCUCUAAUAUGUUAAUGAAUCAUUCCCAUCAGCAAUGUAAACAUGCUCUCUUAAAAAAAUGAAUCAAAAACCUCAUACUUCUCUCCCCUUCCUUUUUACAGUAAAAUGCCAUCUCCCAUUCUCUCUUUAACUCAGCUCUACCAAAACUGCUCUUGUCAAGGUCACCAUUCAGCAAGCCUGGGAUCCUCUUAGCAAAUCCGGCUGCCUCUACAGUUUAUUCCACCACUCCCCAGCGUCCCUGCAGCUCAGGGCCAUGGUGACACUUAAAAGCACCGCGUUUAAUCAUACAGCAUCUUCUUCGUAAAAUUCAGAAGGCUUAAAGGUAAGAGAUGACAUGCAUGAUCCCCUAUUUUACUGAAGAGGCGGGGUCAGGAUUAGAACUCAAGUAAAGUCCUGUAGUCUCUGUAACCAUUUACCAUAGACCAGAGCUGUUCAGAUGAUGCAAAUGUGACAUUAUUUUAACAUUACUGGACCCCAUUCUUAGAGAUGUCAAAAAAAGUAAACUGAAAGAAACCAUGCAGUAUUUAUUUUAUACAGUUCAACUGGGCACAAAGUAAAGUAAGCACCUCUACAGGAAAUCCUUGGUGUAUGAGGGUUUUUUUUUCCUUACAUAUUAAUUACUCUGGAUAGUUUUUGAACUCUGUUUAAUAGCAGGUCUCCUUUCUUGAUAGUUUCUUGGUACUGCCAGUUCUUGCUAUCAGGUCUAUAAAUAAAUCGAAGAAAAAAAUGAAUUAUUUACCAGUCACAUUACUCCAUAACAAUAGCUGACCUACUUUAAAAAGAAGGCACUCUUGUUUUAAGAGUGCCCUUUAUUUUGUGCAGUAUUACAACUGAUACACAAACUUAAGAGUACCUGUUCGUUUCCACUAUUUCAUUCACUUUAUCUAUUUUGCAGUGUAGCCUCCCAGCAGCAAUAAAUCUGGAGAGUUCCCUAAUUGAGAGAGAAGGGAAAAAAAGCCUUUAGCAUUAGCCUUAUAGACAAUUCUUAGAAAAAUAUAAAUAAACACAUGAUUUGUCUUUCAAGGUAACAUUUUGAUGUGCUGCGCAGUAGUUGAGAAGAUGGUCUCCAGUGUAUUGCAGGUGUCUUAUCUACCAGCAUUAACGUGACCCUACAAGUGCCUAUUCCUCUGAAGCGUAGGUGGUCAAAGAAUGAAGCCAUUCACAGCAGUGUACAUAGUUGCAUCUCCAGAGUGCAGCUGCAAAACCCACUGGCACCGAAGUACACAGAGAAAACUACCCAACCAGAUAUAACCAGCCUUGUGAGUCCUACCCAGAUCCAAAGUACAGCAGGGGAGAAGAAUCUUGAUGUUAUGAUUUAGGAGAACAGCACUAGACUUGACGUACAAGCAAACUCUAACUCAAGAAUGCCCUGAGGAGGGAAGAAAACAAUCUGUGAAAACCCAGGCGUGAAUCAGAUAUUUCAAAGAAGGCCUUUCUGGUAACGACAACUGCAGCUCGCUUCAACUGAGCCUCGCACUGCUCCCAACCAGUGGACACGGCUUUAUCACCACCACAGCACAGUUAAGAAACUAAAGGCUAGGAAGCCAGACCAGCCCCUGCUUUUUGUGCACUGCCCACCACAGGAAGCCACUCCUUACACUGCCGCAUGAGAAGCACGUUUACAACACUGCUCUUGGGCGGUGGUUACCAAUUUCACACACGAGUUCAAUUCAGAAGUGAAACAAAACCAAACCAACCGAGGGAACGCAGCCUUCUGUUUUGGUAUGGAUAGGAUAACCAACAAAAACCACCAUCACUGCCUCUUUUUCUUUCACAGAAGAGAAGGAGGAAAUUUCUGGCUCCAUAGUUUGGGUACGGUUAAGAUCUGUGCAUUUUACUGAACGUAAAGAUUACUCAAAACCAACCCACCCACCCAUAAACAAGCACCCCCCAGUCAUCUAUGCAUGCUAAGAUGACUGGGGGUGAAAUGUACUGGUGCCUGACACUUCCUUUCAAGCGGUUAAAAAUCAGAUGGAAGGUGAUAAAACAAAUAUAACAAUGUUAAUAAAUUACAGAAUCAAGGAUCUAUGGGAAUUUACAGUGUAACUCUUUACAAUGUUCAUCAUGUUUGAAAUUUUUCAUAAUAAAAUAUUAGAAAAAAAC